rnacentral:rRNA from 1 species
AUAAUGACUCUCGGCAACGGAUAUCUCGGCUCUCGCAUCGAUGAAGAACGUAGCGAAAUGCGAUACUUGGUGUGAAUUGCAGAAUCCCGUGAACCAUCGAGUAUUUGAACGCAAGUUGCGCCCAAAGCCAUUAGGUUGAGGGCAUGUCUGCCUGGGUGUCACAC